rnacentral:rRNA from 1 species
CCUCAGAUCAGGUAGGAGUACCCGCUGAACUUAAGCAUAUCAAUUAAGCGGAAAAGAAACCAACAGGGAUUGCCCCAGUAGCGGCGAGUGAAGCGGCAAGAGCUCAGAUUUGAAAUCGUGUCUUUGGCACGAGUUGUAGAGUGUAGGCGGGAGUCUUUGUGGAGCACGGUGUCCAAGUCCCUUGGAACAGGGCGCCUGAGAGGGUGAGAGCCCCGUGGGGUGCCGUGCGAAGCUCUGAGGCCCUGCUGACGAGUCGAGUUGUUUGGGAAUGCAGCUCCAAGUGGGUGGUAAAUUCCAUCUAAGGCUAAAUACUGGCGAGAGACCGAUAGCGAACAAGUACUGUGAAGGAAAGAUGAAAAGCACUUUGAAAAGAGAGUGAAACAGCACGUGAAAUUGUUGAAAGGGAAGGGUAUUGGGCCCGACAUGGGGAGUGCGCACCGCUGUCUCUUGUAGGCGGCGCUCUGGGCGCUCUCUGGGCCAGCAUCGGUUCUUGCUGCGGGAGAAUGGGUGCCGGAAAGUGGCUCUUCGGAGUGUUAUAGCCGGCGCCAGAUACCGCGUGCGGGGACCGAGGACUGCGGCUUCUGUCUCGGAUGCUGGCACAACGGCGCAAUACCGC